CCUACGGGAGGCUGCAGUGGGGAAUAUUGCACAAUGGGCGCAAGCCUGAUGCAGCCAUGCCGCGUGUGUGAAGAAGGCCUUCGGGUUGUAAAGCACUUUCAGCGAGGAGGAAGGUGGUGAGCUUAAUACGCUCAUCAAUUGACGUUACUCGCAGAAGAAGCACCGGCUAACUCCGUGCCAGCAGCCGCGGUAAUACGGAGGGUGCAAGCGUUAAUCGGAAUUACUGGGCGUAAAGCGCACGCAGGCGGUUUGUUAGUUCGGAGUGAAAUCCCCGGGCUCCAACUGGGGACUGCCUUUGGAAAUGGGAAGGUAGAGUCUUGUGGAGGGGGGUAGAAUUCCAGGUGUAGCGGUGAAAUGCGUAGAGAUCUGGAGGAAUACCGGUGGCGAAGGCGGCCCCCUGGACGAAGACUGACGCUCAGGUGCGAAAGCGUGGGGAGCAAACAGGAUUAGAUACCCGUGUAGUC
rnacentral:rRNA from 1 species